GACGAACGCUGGCGGCGUGCCUAAUACAUGCAAGUAGAACGCUGAAGCGAGGAGCUUGCUCUUCUUGGAUGAGUUGCGAACGGGUGAGUAACGCGUAGGUAACCUGCCUGGUAGCGGGGGAUAACUAUUGGAAACGAUAGCUAAUACCGCAUAAAAUUGAUUAUUUCAUGAUAAUUAAUUGAAAGAUGCAACUGCAUCACUACCAGAUGGACCUGCGUUGUAUUGGCUAGUUGGUGAGGUAACGGCUCACCAAGGCGACGAUACAUAGCCGACCUGAGAGGGGGAUCGGCCAAAAUGGGAAUGAGAAAAGGCCCAGAAUACUACGGGAGGCAGCAGUAGGGAAACGUCGGAAAUGGGGGGAAAGCUGAACGAGAAAAGCCGAGUGAGUGAAGAAGGUUUUCGGAUCGGAAAGCUCUGUUGUAAGAGAAGAAAGGGUGUGAGAGUGGAAAGUUCACACUGUGACGGUAUCUUAACAGAAAGGGACGGCUAACUACGUG
rnacentral:rRNA from 1 species